GCCUGCCUCUUUCUUCCUUUCCUAGAGCCAGAGUCUUGCUAAGUUGCCCAGGCUGUUCUUGAACUCCUGGACUCAAGAGAUCCUCCCACCUCAGCCUCCCAAAGUGCUGGGAUUACGGGUGUGAGGCACCAGGCCUGGACUGGGAUCUUCUUUUAAAAAGAGGCUUAUUGUGUGUGCAGUCUUCAGGGCACUUCAUUCAGAUGGCUGAAGCACCCUCAGCUAUCUGGAAGGAGUGAUUUACCAGCAACAAACUGCUCAUCAGGUUACCUGAAAAGGAUGAACUCAUGAAUCUUUAGUCUUGAGACCUAAAGUCCACAUAAGCCACAGAACAUGCUCCACCAGGAAACAUGCCUCCAACUAAAGGAAUACAUUCCUUUGAUUUCCCCUAGGCUGUCCAGUGUAGGACAUCCCUUGCUUGAGUGGAAAAGGUAGUGUUGAUUCAGUGAGGAGAAGGCCAUGAGAAAUCUUCCUAGAUUUCAUGUUUGAGCAGUAAGAAAAUUUGCUGGAGGAAGAUACUUACUUGGCACUCAUUCAUGGCAAAGAAAAUUUGAUGGUGAAUUACAGAUAUUGCUAACAAAUAUUUCUGAUGGCACAGCCUGCUAUAGUGGAAAGAAAGCAGGAUGGAGAUGGAAGAGACUGGGUCUUAGUUCCAACUCUGCCAUUCAGCAGCA
rnacentral:lncRNA from 10 species